AACGCAUAUUGCGCUCUCUGGUAUUCCGGAGAGCAUGCUUGUUUGAGUAUCAGUAAACACCUCAAGUCUCGAGAUAUUAUUUUAAUAUUUCGAGAGUUGGAUUUGAGUGAUCCUAACUAAAAGUCGAAAGACUAGAAGGCAGGUCACUUGAAAUUCAGGUGCAGCUGAACUUUUCUUCUGAGCUAAAAGCAUUAUUUUAUUUAGUCUUUAUUGACUAUUACUUUUUGCUGCAGCUAAUAUAAAGGGAGAAGAGUUUCUUAAUGCUGACUGAUGCAGGAAUUUAUCAGUUUCUCGUAAAAAAGGACUGUUAGACUCGAUCUCAAAUCAAGUAAGACUACCCGCUGAACUUAA
rnacentral:misc_RNA from 1 species